rnacentral:lncRNA from 1 species
UCUCAGUUUUGUUCUAUAUUUACCAUUACACUCGUAGUUUUACUUUCUACAAAUAAACAAAAUCCACAUUGUUAUAAAUAAAAAUAGUAGAAAAAUUAUUCAAUUAAUAAGAGAUGCCUAACGUUUUUUUUUUUAUGUGAAAUGUUUUUUUUUGAAACUUUGUGUGGAAGUGGUGGACCUAUAGUGGUUAAUUAAGACGAUAAUUAUGCGCAAAUCCAGCCAUCAUUUCGUUCCGUGGGAAAUAUAUAAAUUAUAAAUACUCGUAACCGAAGGAUAUCAAAAUAAGCUAAUUCGCUCACUUCACACUGAGUUCGGAUAUUUCACGAGGUAGCUCAGCUCAUUUACUAUAUGAGUUUCAAUAUGUAAAUUUGAACUCAAAUCAUCUAGAUCAUGAGUUAAAUGAGUUAACUCGCGAUCAAAUAUAAAUAAUAAAAAUUAGAAAAUAAAUUAGAAAAUAAAAUAUUGUUCAUAAUAUAAUUUAAAAUUAAUCCAAAACAUUAAUAAUA